CACAUAGAUGCCCCUGAUUCUGUUGCCAUCCAAGAAUAUCCAGUCAAGGAAAAUGUCACUUACCUGCUCAGAUUUAAUUUUCAGAUUCGGGUCCAAGAUGUAUGCUCUCCGCACUGCACAGAAAAUCGCUGAAGGAGGAGAUUCUCUGAUUUCCGGGGCCCCAGAGGAAACCAAUGUGUUGAUCCAAUCCAUUUAA
rnacentral:lncRNA from 1 species